rnacentral:rRNA from 1 species
UUUAUCAAUUCCAGCGGUCCCUUGUGGAUAUCCGCGGUAAUUCUGGAGCUAAUACAUGCAACUAUACUUAGUUUCGGCUGAGUGCAGCUAUUAGAACGAGCCAAUCGCCUUCGGGUGGGUUUGUUGACUCUGAAUGCCAAGUCUAUCGGUGGUUCGCCUACCGAAGUCUGGAAUUAAGUGUUUGCCCUAUUAACUAGAUGGUAGUGUAUUGGACUACCAUGGUUUUAACGGGUAACGGAGAAUAAGGGUUCGACUCCGGAGAGGGAGCCUUAGAAACGGCUACCACAUCCAAGGAAGGCAGCAGGCGCGUAACUUAUCCACUACUUAAUGUGAGAUAGUGACUGUACAUAAGAAGGCUCAUCUUUUUAGAUGGGCUAUUUCAAUGAGUUGAACCUAAAUAGUUCUUCGAGGACCCAGUGGAGGGCAAGUCUGGUGCCAGCAGCCGCGGUAAUUCCAGCUCCACUAGUGUAAAUCAUCAUUGUUGCGGUUAAAAAGCUCGUAGUUGAAACCGAGUCAUGCAGCUUUGAAACGGCUCAGCCGAUAUUCUUAGCGGUGACUAUUAUGCCUCACUUCGAUGUAGGGCCUUGUGCCUGUCGUGUCUGGCAAGUUUACUUUGAAUAAAUUAAAGUGCUUAAGACGAGCGUUUGCUUGUAUAUCUAAGCUAGGAAUAAUAAAACAGGACUACGGUUCGGUUUAUUGGUUCAGAAUUCGUUAUAAUGGUUAAUAGGGACAGUUCGGGGGCAAUCGUAUUCCUGCGCGAGAGGUGAAACUCGUAGACCGUAGGAAGACGUCCAAGAGCGAAAGCAGUUGCCAAGUCUGUCUUCUUUAAUCAAGAACGAAAGUCAGAGGUUCGAAGGCGAUUAGAUACCGCCCUAGUUCUGACUGUAAACUAUGCCAUCUAGCGAUUCGGUGUGGCAACUUGUUGUCGACCCGAGCAGCCCCCGGAAACGAAAGCUUACCGGUUCCGGGGGUAGUAUGGUUGCAAAGCUGAAACUUAAAGAAAUUGACGGAAGGGCACCACCAGGAGUGGAGCCUGCGGCUUAAUUUGACUCAACACGGGAAAACUCACCCGGUCCGGAUACUUAUUGGAUUGACAGAUUGAAAGCUCUUUCUCGAUUUGGUGGUUGGUGGUGCAUGGCCGUUCUUAGUUGGUGGAGUAGUUUGUCUGGUUUAUUCCGAUAACGAGCGAGACUCUAGCCUGCUAAAUAGUCAACGGGUAGUUAGGCCCGUUUUACUUCUUAGAGGGAUAAGCGGUUUCGAAGCCGUACGAGAUUGAGCGAUAACAGGUCUGUGAUGCCCUUAGAUGUCCGGGGCUGCACGCGUGCUACAUUGGAAGACUCAAUUAGUCUAAGCCGGUGCCGAAAGGUACUGGUAAUCUGGAGAAAAUCUUCCGCGCCCGGAAUAGGGAUUUGUAACUAUCUCCCUUGAACGAGGAAUUCCUAGUAAGUGUGAGUCAUCAUCUCGCGCUGAUUACGUCCCUGCCCUUUGUACACACCGCCCGUCG